AUGAAUAUUGUGGGAGAGUCUAAACGCAUUGUUUAGCACCGAAGGAGCAAGUCCCAAAAAUUGGGGUCAAUCUCUCAGGUAAAAGGGACCACAAUAGGACG
rnacentral:ncRNA from 2 species